CUGUCUCUUGCUUCAACAGUGCUUGGAAGGAACAG
rfam:Ovis aries breed Texel chromosome 12, whole genome shotgun sequence.